AGAAUUACUACCUCCACCUCCUCCAUUGUUAUCGCUAUUGUUACUAGGUAUGAACAUAUCAGAUGACUUCUCCAACUUCCAAUCCUUCGUUAUUCUUUCUGGAAUAGUUUCAGGCAGCUGAGAAGCACAGACAUCCUUAAUCUUUAAGUCGUUGUACAAGACAACACCACAAAGUGCUGCACACGAGGGGCAAAAGUAAAUUUCCAGAAUCUGAUGAAAACCAACCACACUUCAAAUUAGUAGAGAAAUACCAAUUGCAUAACCAA
rnacentral:misc_RNA from 1 species